CUUCUAAGUUAAUAGCAAACAUUUACACUGCGUACAUCCCUGUACCUACAUGACAGGUGGCCAUUGACAGGUGGUGUGACCACCGAGCUCAAAGACUCAGAAUGGCUCUCCUUCAGCCCACAUGGGGAAUUCUGCAUGAAGAGUUUCCCUGGGUGCUGCAUGUGUAACGAGCCCUGGCCCUGCCGGGGGAUCCCCCCGAGUGCCUGCAGGGCCCUGAGUUUUGGUGCCGGGACAUGGCCACAGCAGAGCAGUGCAGCCGACGGCAGUUUUGCCUGAAGUACGACUGGGAUGAGCUGCCCGAGGGCACUGACGAAUGGCACCCCCUGGUGAAGUGCUGGGUGUGCAAAAAAAGUCAUCAGCAAGCUGAAGAAAAUGGUGUCCAACGCACAACACAAGCAGCGUGGCAAUGGCCAUCAAGAAGAUCUGCUCCACCUUCCCCUUCAACUGGGCAGGCAAGUGUCACCGGGUGGUGGACCGGUACAUGCAGCCCAUCGAGGACGGGCUGGCCCAGGACCUGGAGCCCCGCGACAUCUGCACCUCCAUUCACAUGUGCAAGAGCCAGGACCAGCCAGGUGAGGGGGGCUGCCCCUGAGCCCACCGCGCCUGGCUGGGCAGAUCCCUGGGGGGCUGGGGCCAG
rnacentral:lncRNA from 1 species